rnacentral:rRNA from 1 species
GACGAACGCUGGCGGCGUGCUUAACACAUGCAAGUCGUACGGUAAGGCCCUUUCUGGGGUACACGCUUGGCGAACGGGCGAGUAACACGUGAGUAACCUGCCUACAACUGUGUGAUAACUCUAUUAAACUGGCUCUGAUACUUGCUGUGUGCUCCUGCCUCCUGGAGGGGGUUGGAUAGCUCCGGCGGGUGUGGAUGGACUCGCGGGCUAUCAGCUUGUUUGUGGGGUAGUGGCCUACCAAGGCGGCGACGGGCAGCCGGCCCGCGAGGGUGACCGGCCAAAAUGGGACUGGGAAACGGCCCAGACCCCUAAGGGGGGGAGGAGGGGGGAAUAUUGCACAAUGGGCGGAAGCCCGGUGCAGCCACGCCGCGUGCGGGAAGACCGCCCUCGGGUUGGAAACCGCUUUCAGCAGGGACGGAGCUUUUUGUGACGGUACCUGCAGAAGAAGCACCGGCUAACUACGUG